AAAAUGAAAUUUCAAGCAGUGACAACACCUAGUUCAUCAAUCAUACUAAUAAUUUAUAAUAUCAUUCUCCAUGAAUCAACAUACUUGUUGAAACAAAUAUAUAUCACACCCUUUGCAUAAAUUAUAUAAUCUUUUAUCUCAAUGCACAAUUUCUCAACACAUGGUGGCUAAACGUUUACAAUCUCCUGUAAAUGAACUAUAGUAUGUGAACCAUUUGAAAUUUCGGUGUCAUAUUGUUACAGUAUAAUCCAGUCAGAAAUUAGAAUGCCCUUGUUGGGCAAUGGACUAUUUUAAAACUUCAUCACCAUCGUACCUACACACAUAUAAGUGUUGUUCAGUAAAUAACCAUUUAUGUAUCAACUAAAUUCAGUAAAGGACUAUUACUAUGAGAAAAUCAAGUGUUGUUCAAAAAAGAAAAGUGCCCAUUAUCACUUCAGUUAUAACUGCUACUGCUAGCUGCUCUUGCUUCCCUUCGCAUUGUAAGGGUGUUGUAUUUAGCAACAAAACCUUGCAUAUCAAAUUAUAUGGAGAACAUAUGCUGCAAUGAACCAUUGACUGAUCUAAAAACCAACAUUGGCAUCCAAACUGGCCCAGCUCUCCAUCUAAAAAUAAUCUUAAAUAACAAAUAAAAAAAUUGCAACAUUAAGUGAAUUUGGGCUGAAGUGAAUUUGCCUUUGGUUGACCAAUAUUCUUCGUAUUUUUAUUCCAAUAUUCUUCAUGUUUGGUUGACCAAACACCAUCUCAUAUUAUGAUUUAUGAAGCGAUCAUUUAGUAACACCACAAUAUCCCAAAGUAGCAGGCAUUUUAUUUUCCUAAAAAGAAGUAGCCGACAUAUUCUUAAGCUUCUGUACAAGCUUUGCAAAGAAAUUUUAUAACCCCUCUAGAUUGUCUGAGCAACAGUACUGAUUCCAGAUUGCCGGUUGUAUCUCAAAUUGAAAUCAUAAGUUAAAUACUUGUGACAACCUACCCAGAAAGUCUCAAUCUCAAGUAUCAUUGCUUCCAAAUAAAUUACUGUGAUGCAACAACAGUAACUCGUAGAUGGCAACCAGAAUGAAAUUGUAUCAAAACGGACCAAAUCUUGCCAAUAAACCCAACACAUAAUAGAAUUAGACCUUGCAAUUAUGGCAAGUUACAGUCAUCAAAUUUAUCUGCUCUAAUUCGCAACAAGAAAACUUUGAUUUGUGAUAUGAUGAUGACCAGGCAGCCAAGGAGAAGUGGACAUGCAAGAGAGGAGUCGUGACUUGGCGACCAUGGUUGUUCUCUGCACAUACCUUGAUGCGGUGUUCGUCCUCCACCCCAGCAUCCUGCGUGUCCCGUCCUUGCCUCCCCGCGCCUUUCACACGACAUAUCUUCAACCUCCUAACCAUCUUUGAUGCACUGACGCUGAGUUAAGAAAUCUGCCAGGAAUGACAUCGGAAAUUAAUAGUCAAGCACAAUCCUUGAGAUAACAUGGUUAUCGUAAAAGUAUCAAUAUCUAUCAGGAGAUCAAACCUACUAAUUUAAACCACGCUUCAAAUCUUGUGCAACUUCUCCUAUAUAGAAGCAUGGUUUCUUCUCAUGUAGAUGUGGGAAAUCUGACACGAAUGCAUGUAUGCAACAAAAAAUUCUCUAGUGUCAUACGCACAAGUUAAGUAGUUAACAAAAGUUUACUUCCCACUACUAAUUUUGCACUUGUCAUAAUAAAGAAAACAGAGCUCGACAUCACGGCAACAAAAGCGGUAGACUGGGAGCCUGGAACCAUGCACACCAAAUCGCAGAGCAGAAAAAUAGCAGUACUACCUGGAGCAAAAGAAACUCAACGGACUGGGGCAACAUUUGGAAAGAGACAAGCAAGUACUACAACAGCUAGCUAGGCUGAAUUGAAGAUCAACCAAAAUCAUAUCAAGUAUUUGUUGAGCAUGCUUAUACACGGGAAGGGGAAGGGGUUCACGGCAUGGACCUUUAGGUCAUGGCGUGGCUUGCAUCUCUCCUCCUCAUGUGCAUUGGUUUGCAUCCAAUCCUUGCAGUCCAAUCGAUGGGCGUCCCCCCCUCUCUGCAUCUCUAGAACAACACGACACUUAAAUUUCAUCAACUUCCAUUGCUACUUAAUAAAAGAGGGGCAAGAUGUAUAUGCUGCAUAAAACAUACAUGGAGAAGCAAGCUGCUUGAAAACAGAGGAGAUCCAUGAUGGUUGUUUUCAUUCGCAACAGAAGAACUCGAAAAAAUGUGCAAGUGCAUGCUAUCUAUGGAUACACCAACUCCAUCAAGUACCUAGCACCCAAACUAAGAAAAAAAAUCAUUCAUAUGCAGCAGCCCAAACUCAACUUUGAGAGAGCGGACUAAUUAACAUUUUUUUGUUGGGUCAAAUUUUUCACAAAUAUAGAUAGAAGCACUCCAGAAGCUAUCCGAAUAAAUCAUAGAGGCUGGCCAAACUAAUUGGCGCACUCAAACGAUACAAGAGAGCGGCCUGAUGAACACAUUGUUAGAGACGCACAUAUAGCUAGUUUCUGUAGAUCAAUUAAGCUACUAGCUUGGUUGCUUCUUUUAGAUAGCAUACACGUACGUGAUUUGUUAUAGCAUACAUAAACCGAACACACUUUCUUUAUCAAAAUUUUCACAACUAGAAGAACUCCAGCAGCUAGCUAGGCAGAAGUGAAGAUUGACCAAAAUCAUAUCAAGCAAUGUGAAGCAUCAUUAUACAAGGAAAAGGGGGGAACAGAGGAGUGCAGAGGGUCUCACCAUGGGGGUGCUUUAGCCGAUGUAGUGCACCGCCAUCACGCCGUGGAUGGAGCCUCCGUCACGCCGUGGAUGGAGCUGUCGUCUCGCCGGAGUUUACCCGCCGCGUGCGUCCGCCCCGCAGCCACCGGGUGCAGGAGAGCCGACCACGAGGGGGAGCUGCCCGUGGGACUUGCGGUGGCCGUCGGAGAGGGCGGAGCAGAGUCGCCAGCGACAUGCCAGAGUUGGAG
rnacentral:lncRNA from 1 species